UACGUAGGGUGCAAGCGUUAAUCGGAAUUACUGGGCGUAAAGCGUGCGCAGGCGGUUUUGUAAGUCUGAUGUGAAAUCCCCGGGCUUAACCUGGGAACUGCAUUUGUGACUGCAUCGCUGGAGUGCGGCAGAGGGGGAUGGAAUUCCGCGUGUAGCAGUGAAAUGCGUAGAUAUGCGGAGGAACACCGAUGGCGAAGGCAAUCCCCUGGGCCUGCACUGACGCUCAUGCACGAAAGCGUGGGGAGCAAACAGG
rnacentral:rRNA from 1 species